rnacentral:rRNA from 1 species
AUUGAACGCUAGCGGCAGGCUUAACACAUGCAAGUCGAGGGGCAGCACGGACUUCGGUCUGGUGGCGACCGGCAAACGGGUGCGGAACACGUACACAAUCUACCUUUAUCUGGGGUAUAGCCCGAAGAAAUUCGGAUUAAUCCCCCAUAAUAUAUUAGAGUGGCAUCACUUCGAUAUUAAAACUCCGGUGGAUAAAGAUGAGUGUGCGUCCCAUUAGCUAGUUGGUAGGGUAACGGCCUACCAAGGCAACGAUGGGUAGCUGGUGUGAGAGCACGACCAGCCACACGGGCACUGAGACACGGGCCCGACUCCUACGGGAGGCAGCAGUGAGGAAUAUUGGUCAAUGGACGCAAGUCUGAACCAGCCAUGCCGCGUGAAGGAUGAAGGCCUUCUGGGUUGUAAACUUCUUUUAUUGGGGAAGAAAAUUACGGUUUCUACUGUAACCGACGGUACCCAAGGAAUAAGCACCGGCUAACUCCGUGCCAGCCGCCGCAGUAA